UUUAUCUACAAGAAAAAAAAAUGGAGGGUGUAGCUAGUACAUAUAAAUAAGUUUUACUUUAGUUUCCUUAGCUACAAAUGUUGACAAAUCUAGAUCUGGACUAGGUUUAAACAAUACCACAGUGCACAAAAACAUGUGCCAUACCAAAAAAAAUAAACUUUUGUGUCAAUCUGAGUAUUAUGAACAUACUGCAAAUCUAUCUUUCUUCAUACACAAUGUACUUUCAAAAAUGUCUAUAUGUAUUUUGAUACAAUUAAUGUUUAUAUGUAUUUUGAUACAAUGACUUCUUUUUUGUAUUCUGUUAGUAUCUAAUA